rnacentral:rRNA from 1 species
GACGAACGCUGGCGGCGUGCUUAACACAUGCAAGUCGAACGGAAAGGCCCUGCUUUUGUAGGGUGCUCGAGUGGCGAACGGGUGAGUAACACGUGAGUAACCUGCCCUUGACUUUGGGAUAACUUCAGGAAACUGGGGCUAAUACCGGAUAGGAGCUCCUGCUGCAUGGUGGGGGUUGGAAAGUUUCGGCGGUUGGGGAUGGACUCGCGGCUUAUCAGCUUGUUGGUGGGGUAGUGGCUUACCAAGGCUUUGACGGGUAGCCGGCCUGAGAGGGUGACCGGCCACAUUGGGACUGAGAUACGGCCCAGACUCCUACGGGAGGCAGCAGUGGGGAAUAUUGCACAAUGGGCGGAAGCCUGAUGCAGCAACGCCGCGUGCGGGAUGACGGCCUUCGGGUUGUAAACCGCUUUCGCUCAUGACGAAGCUUUGUGUGACGGUAGUGGGUAAAGAAGCACCGGCUAACUACGUG